AGCCAUUGAUCGGUACGGGUUGUGAGAGCAAGAGCCCGGAGAUGGAUUCUGAGACACGAAUCCAGGCCCUACGGGGCGCAGCAGGCGCGAAAACUUUACAAUGCGAGAAAUCGUGAUAAGGGAACCCCGAGUGCCCGUAAAUUCGGGCUGUCCGCCAGUGUAAAUAACUGGUGAAGAAAGGGCCGGGCAAGACCGGUGCCAGCCGCCGCGGUAAUACCGGCGGCUCGAGUGGUGGCCACUAUUACUGGGCUUAAAGCGUCCGUAGCUGGAUUGUUAAGUCUCUUGGGAAAUCCACCGGCUCAACCGAUGGGCGUUCAGGAGAAACUGGCAAUCUAGGGACCGGGAGAGGUGAGAGGUACUCCAGGGGUAGGAGUGAAAUCCUGUAAUCCUUGGGGGACCACCUGUGGCGAAGGCGUCUCACUAGAACGGCUCCGACAGUGAGGGACGAAAGCUGGGGGAGCAAACCGGAUUAGAUACCCGGGUAGUCCCAGCUGUAAACGAUGCGCGUUAGGUGUAUCGGUGACCACGAGUCAUCGAGGUGCCGAAGGGAAACCGUGAAACGUG
rnacentral:rRNA from 1 species